ACAUUUGUUUUAAGUACAACAAUUUAGUAUUAUGGUGCAAGAUUUAAAUAUGUACUAAAAAGUUUAUCUACAGUACAGUGUAAUCCCCACCGCUACUAACAAUAUUUUUUUUACUGUUAAAUCAAUAUUUUGCCUUGUUUUUCCUAUUUUGAAUAUUUAAAAAUGUUCAUUGGGUUUUUUUUUAUUUCUGCCAUAUAUUGUUAUAAUGUGAAUUGCAGCAAUUGCUUGUUUCUAUUUUUAAAAAACAAUUCUGUUUUGUUUUGUGGUUAUGGAAAUUUAGAAUUUUUAAAAUGAACAUGCUCAAUUUAAUUUUAUAUAUAGGCAUAUUUCAUGAAGAUUGAAAAGUUAUCUACUGAAAUACUUCAUAUACACAUAUGUUACUUGCUUUGUUCUCUGUGCAAUAGACUGUUGUUACAUACAUUUCUCUUGUUGUUCUCAAAAUAAAAGAACUGCUUUAUAUAUUAAGUAACUGCU
rnacentral:misc_RNA from 1 species